AUGCUAGCGAAGGCUGUUCCUCGGCCGUGCUCCGGCGCUGGCCGCCAUGGCGCGCCAGCGGCGAGGCUGUGGUCCGUCGGCGUCGCCGGAGGUCCGAGGAGGGGAGGAGCCGGUGGCAGGCUCGUGGCGGCGGACGCAGGGGAGAGGAUGGCGGGGUCAGAAGCCGUGCCGGUGGUGGCUGUGGCUGCCGGGAAGCAGCCCGUCAAUGGAUCAGCCAUGGCAGAUAAAUUUCUCACCAUGUGCAACACAUGGUGCAUUAACAUAUUUGUGGAUGUCCAAUCCUCAAAACCAACCCCACCAACUUGGUCCCUGAUGGAGUAUGAGCAACAACCAGGACGAAAGCCAUGCACGGAUAAGAACGGUUUGGGUAUCGACAAGCUUGUGACCUCAACUGUUGGGAAAUCGACAAACGUUCUUUGGCAUGACUGUCCAAUAGGUCAGUUUGAGAGGCAGGAACUGCUAAAUCAGAAGGGUUGUGUUGUGUGGAUAACAGGGUUAAGUGGUUCAGGGAAAAGCACACUAGCAUGCGCGCUAAGUCGCGAGCUGCACUCCAGAGGUCAUCUGACCUACAUUCUAGACGGUGACAAUCUAAGGCAUGGGUUAAACCGAGACCUCUGUUUCGAAGCAAAGGACCGUGCUGAAAAUAUACGCAGAGUAGGAGAAGUAGCAAAGCUGUUUGCAGAUGCUGGUCUGAUCUGCAUUGCUAGCUUGAUAUCACCCUACAGAAGUGAACGCAGCGCUUGCCGCAAAUUACUGCACAAUUCUACAUUCAUCGAGGUGUUUUUGAAUGUCCCACUUGAAGUUUGUGAAGCUAGGGAUCCAAAAGGCUUGUACAAGCUUGCCCGUGCAGGAAAAAUCAAAGGGUUUACUGGAAUUGAUGAUCCUUAUGAAGCACCUUCUGACUGCGAGAUAGUGAUACAGUGCAAAGCUGGUGACUGCGCCACGCCUAAAUCGAUGGCUGAUCAAGUUGUGUCAUAUCUUGAAGCAAAUGAGUUCUUACAGGAAUAG
rnacentral:rRNA from 1 species